rnacentral:rRNA from 1 species
UACGUAGGGAGCAAGCGUUGUCCGGAAUCAUUGGGCGUAAAGCGCGCGUAGGCGGCCCGAUAAGUCCGCUGUGAAAGUCAACGGCUCAACUGUUGGAUGCCGGUGGAUACUGUCGGGCUAGAGUACGGAAGAGGCAAGUGGAAUCCGGGUGUAGCGGUGGAAUGCGUAGAGAUCCGGAAGAACACCAGUGGCGAAGGCGGUCUGCUGGGCAGUGGGAGCUUCGGCUCUCUUUAGCCGACACUGAGGCGCGACAGC